rnacentral:rRNA from 1 species
AACGCUAGCUACAGGCUUAACACAUGCAAGUCGAGGGGAAACGACAUCGAAAGCUUGCUUUUGAUGGGCGUCGACCGGCGCACGGGUGAGUAACGCGUAUCCAACCUGCCCACCACUUGGGAAUAACCUUGCGAAAGUAAGACUAAUGCCCAAUGAUAUCUCUAGAAGACAUCUGAAAGAGAUUAAAGAUUUAUCGGUGAUGGAUGGGGAUGCGUCUGAUUAGCUUGUUGGCGGGGUAACGGCCCACCAAGGCGACGAUCAGUAGGGGUUCUGAGAGGAAGGUCCCCCACAUUGGAACUGAGACACGGUCCAAACUCCUACGGGAGGCAGCAGUGAGGAAUAUUGGUCAAUGGGCGAGAGCCUGAACCAGCCAAGUAGCGUGCAGGAUGACGGCCCUAUGGGUUGUAAACUGCUUUUAUAAGGGAAUAAAGUGAGUCUCGUGAGACUUUUUGCAUGUACCUUAUGAAUAAGGACCGGCUAAUUCCGUGCCAGCAGCCGCGGUAAUACGGAAGGUCCGGGCGUUAUCCGGAUUUAUUGGGUUUAAAGGGAGCGUAGGCCGGAGAUUAAGCGUGUUGUGAAAUGUAGACGCUCAACGUCUGCACUGCAGCGCGAACUGGUUUCCUUGAGUACGCACAAAGUGGGCGGAAUUCGUGGUGUAGCGGUGAAAUGCAUAGAUAUCACGAAGAACUCCGAUUG